AAAAGGUUCACGAAGGAACACAAUCUUUCACGUGGGGCUCCGGCAUCACUCUCUUCUUCAGCUUCAGUCCCAAAGGAACAGUGGAGGCAGACAGAAGAGGAGAGCUGUUCCUAAAGAGGACAGAAGACCUGGGGAAGACGUUCACCACCGUGGCACACAGCAUCUUCUCCUUCGGCUAUGUAGGAGGCUUCCUCUUCACCUCAGUCAUAGAGACACUGGGAGCCCCACGUGUCAUCUAUGUGUCCUCAGACCAAGGGGACCACUUCAACAAAGCCCAGCUCCCUCC